GAAAAAAGUUCUGGUGUUCUAUACUACUGUAGGAUGACUGUAGUUAACAAUAAUGUAUUACAUAGUCACAAAUAGCUAGAAGAAUAUUGAAUAUUCCCAACACACAAAAAUGAUACAUAUUUGAGAUGACCGGACAUGCUAAUUACUCUGAUCUGAUCACUAUAUAUAUUGUAUGUAUCAAAACAACACCCAUGAAUAUGUACAAUUAUUAGUUGUCACUUUAAAAAGAAAAUUUAAAAAUGCAAUUUUAACCAUGUAACUUUCCUAUUAAAAGCUUAUGUGACUCCCCAUUGCCACUAUUUACUCGUACAGCAAAUAUUACUAAGCAUCUUCUCUGUGUCAGUCAUUGCCCUAAGAGCUGAGGAUAUGGUAGUGAGCAAACAAAAUAAAGUUCCUAUCCACAUGGAGCUUUAUUUCAGUGAAGAAGACUGAAAAACAAAGUGCCUAUAAUGUCAUCCUUGCAAACAUUUUUAGUCUCAUCUGACUCAAACUGUAAGUGCCAACAAAGCUGAGUUUCUUACACACUACUGCCUACACUGUUCUCCCAUAACACCUCCCACAUGUUUAAUUUAUUUAUCCG
rnacentral:lncRNA from 1 species